CCACGUGACCAGCAAUAAAACUCCAUGGCGGCGCACUGCUCAGUAGGACUCGCCGCAAGAUCAGGUCUGGGUGGUUUCCUGCGGAGAGCUUGUUGUUUACGAAGCUGUGGUCCCCCCACAGCCCUGCUGUGUCAGCAACAUCGGCACUUCUUCUGGAGGAAGUGGAGUCAUUCUCACAAUGUAGUUCGCCCAGCUUCUGUUAGGCCUGCCUAUGCAGUUCCCAAGCACAUUGUGCGGCCUGACUAUGUUGGCACUGGCCAGGUCCCAGAAUGGCCCAACUACAUCGAGAUCAAAGACCAAGAGCAGAUUGAAGGCCUUACCAGAGCAUGUCAGCUAGCCAGACAUGUACUGCUACUAGCUGGACGCAGCCUGAGGGUUGGUAUGACAACAGAUGAAAUAGACUUCAUCGUUCACCAGGAGACAAUCAAGCACAACGCCUACCCAUCCCCUCUCAGAUACGGGGGUUUCCCAAAGUCUGUGUGUACAUCUGUGAACAACGUGGUCUGCCAUGGUAUACCUGACAGUCGGCAACUUCAAGACGGAGACAUCAUCAACGUUGAUGUCACUGUGUAUUUGGAUGGUUACCAUGGUGACACCUCAGAAACCUUCUUGAUUGGUGAGGUGGAUGAGGUUGGGCGGCGACUGGUGGAAACUGCCAGGCGCUGCCGAGAUGAGGCCAUCGCUGCCUGCAGGCCGGGUGCACAGCUCUGUGUCAUAGGAAACACUAUUAGUGAAAUCGCCCACGCCAAUGGCUUCCAUGUGUGUCCGUAUUUCAUUGGACAUGGAAUAGGCUCCCACUUUCACUGCCACCCUGAGAUCUGGCACCACGCUAAUGACAAUGACAUGACCAUGGAUGAAGGGAUGUCUUUCACAAUAGAGCCCAUAGUGAUGGAGGGGACUACAGAGUUUAGAAUCCUGAAGGACAAGUGGACCGCAGUGUCUGCAGACGAUAAAAGGGUCGCGGGGGGGCUGGAGCCUAUCCCAGCUGACAUCGGGCAAGAGGCAGGGUACACCCUGGACAGGUCACCAGACUAUCGCAGGGCUGACACAUAGAGACAAACAACCAUUCACGCUCACAUUCACACCUACGGACAAUUUAGAGUUACCAAUUAACCUAGUCCCCAAUCUGCAUGUGUUUGGACUGUGGGAGGAAGCCGGAGUGCCCGGAGAGAACCCACGCUGACACGGGGAGAACAUGCAAACUCCGCACAGAAGGGCUCCCACACCCGGGAUCGAACUGACAACCCUCUUACUGUGAGGUCGGCUCAGUUCGAACACACCGUGGUCAUCACAUCUGACGGAGUGGAUAUUCUCACCAAACUGCCAGAGGAGAGCAAUCAGUGACCUGAAGGAAUCUUAACUGCUGAUCCCGACAUCAACUGUUAGAGAUCUAUUUACCUCAGACAGGAUCUAAACUACCUUUUGUGUUCACAAAACACUGUUAUAAAAAGAAUUAAGUUAAUUGUAAGUAGGGAUUACACACAUACAGUAUCUGUAUAUUCAGUUUGACUAUGGUGUUUUUUCACCCUUGAUUGGAGCAUAUACAGAGAAAAAUGGCAGUUGGUGCAUCUCACGGCUGAAGUGGUGCUCUGUGCAUAUCAUGAGUGGUUAUAAUGACAGGAUAAGAGAUCCUUGUCUUCUCCAAAUUAUAGUGUAUUCUUUUUGAGCCAACAUGUCAUGUAACAGUUAAAUCGGAGCAACAUUAGUAAGGCCUCGGCCAGGAUUUGAGAAAUACUGAGGUCAUGAGUCCAAAUUCCCUGGCACAACCCAAUCUACAUAAGACACUUAAGACUUGCCAUCAACCACACUGUAAAAAGUUCUCAUUGUUUCACCUGUUAUGUAUUCAUUUAACUGUUUAAUCAUAUUCUCUGUAUUAUUUAUCUCACAUCAUCCAAGUCAGUGGUUCCCAGCCUCUUUACACAAGGGACCCCUUUUCUAUCAUUGAGUAAACUGUUGACCCCUGA